rnacentral:rRNA from 1 species
UGAGGGAAUAUUGGGUCAAUGGACGGGAGUCUGAACCAGCCAAGUAGCGUGCAGGAUGACGGCCCUAUGGGUUGUAAACUGCUUUUAUAGGGGGAUAAAGUGUGCCACGUGUGGCAUAUUGCAGGUACCCUAUGAAUAAGGACCGGCUAAUUCCGUGCCAGCAGCCGCGGUAAUACGGAAGGUCCGGGCGUUAUCCGGAUUUAUUGGGUUUAAAGGGAGCGCAGGCCGCCCCUUAAGCGUGUUGUGAAAUGCCGCGGCUCAACCGUGGCACUGCAGCGCGAACUGGGGGGCUUGAGUGCGCGCAGCGCAGGCGGAACUCGUGGUGUAGCGGUGAAAUGCUUAGAUAUCACGAAGAACUCCGAUUGCGAAGGCAGCUGACAAGGCUACAACUGACGCUAAAGCUCGAAAGUGCGGGUAUCGAACAGGAUUAGAUACCCUGGUAGU